CAGUCUGAGUGGUCCUAUUAGAAAGUAAAUCUAAUUAUGCCUUUUAUAACCCCAACUCCUCCACUGGCUUUCCAUUUUACUAAGAAAACUUCCAGAUAUAGACUUUUACCCCUCUUACUUCAGCUAUCUCCUGUUCACUCUGCUGCAGUUUGCCUAUCUGCCGUGCUGGUGCUUUCUCAUACCGGGUACAUUCCUAGGCCAUUUGCAUUGGCUCUUCCUUCUGCCUACAACACUGUCCCUGAAGAGCUCUGCUUCUGCCAGGUAUCUAUGUAGCUCAUUCCUUCUUCUUUUUUGAAUGUUUGUCCAAAUAUUACCAAUGCUGUCCUCAAUCCCCAUUAUCCCUUUUAUUCCAUACAGUAACCUUUAUCACCUUCAAAUGUGCAACAUUACCUAAGUAUUGUAUGUUUCUUAACUCAUCCCCAUAGAACUUAAGCUCCAAAUAGGCAAGGAUUUUACCAUUUGAAUUGUUAUUAGAUUACUAAGAAGCCCAUGAUAUAUGCUCAAUAAAUAUUUAUUGAAUGAAUGAAUGAGUGAAUAAAUAAAUAAUUAAAUUCCAUGUUUCUGUAUAUUCCAGAUUGUAGUAUCAAGCUAUGUGAUCUUUGGAUGUGAUUUUUUUUAUUAGUUGCUCAUGACAAUACAAUGAUCUUGAAAUAUCAUACAUUUGAAUCAAAUGGGGUAUAAUUUCUCAUUUUUCCAAGUGUACAGGUUGCAGAAUCACAUUGGUUAUAUGGCUACGUAUGGAUGUGAUUAUUUUGAUGGAGUCAUUUUAAUGCCAGAACAAUGUGACAACUUUUUUUGAGACUACUGUUUUUACAUAGG
rnacentral:lncRNA from 1 species